GAUGAAGAACGCAGCGAAAUGCGAUAAGUAAUGUGAAUUGCAGAAUUCAGUGAAUCAUCGAGUCUUUGAACGCACAUUGCGCCCCCUGGUAUUCCGGGGGGCAUGCCUGUCCGAGCGUCAUUGCUGCCCUCAAGCACGGCUUGUGUGUUGGGCCCCGUCCUCCGAUCCCGGGGGACGGGCCCGAAAGGCAGCGGCGGCACCGCGUCCGGUCCUCGAGCGUAUGGGGCUUUGUCACCCGCUCUGUAGGCCCGGCCGGCGCUUGCCGAUCAACCCAAAUUUUUAUCCAGGUUGACCUCGGAUCAGGUAGGGAUACCCGCUGAACUUAAGCAUACAAUAAGCGGAGGA
rnacentral:misc_RNA from 1 species